AGCGAACGCUGGCGGCAGGCUUAACACAUGCAAGUCGAGCGGACAUCCUUGUGGUGUCAGCGGCAGACGGGUGAGUAACGCGUGGGAACGUGCCCUUCGGUUCGGCCUAACUCAGGGAAACUUGAGCUAAUACCGGAUACGUGCGCGAGCAGGAGAGUUUGUCUGCCGAAGGAUCGGCCCUCGUCUGAUUAGCUAGGUGGUGAGGGUAUGGCUCACCAAGGCGACGAUCAGUAGCUGGUCGGGGAGGAUGAUCAGCCACACUGGGACUGCGACACGGCCCACACUCGUACGCGAGGCAGCGGUGGGUAAUAUUGGACGAGGGGGGCAACUCUAGCCCAGCCGUGCCGCGUGAGUGAUCACUGGCUUAGUGUUGUAAAUCUCUUUUCGCCGAGACGAUAAUGACGGUACCGGAUGAAGAAGCCCCGGCUAACUUCGUG
rnacentral:rRNA from 1 species